GUUGUAUAGUCAAGUAAUUAAGUGCAUGUGGUGGAUGCCUUGGCAGUCAGAGGCGAUGAAAGACGUAAUAGCCUGCGAUAAGCUCCGGGGAGGCGGCAAAUAUCCUGUGAUCCGGAGAUUUCUGAAUGGGGAAACCCACCUGUCAUAAGGCAGGUAUCGUAUGAUGAAUACAUAGUCAUACGAGGCGAACGAGGGGAAGUGAAACAUCUCAGUACCCUUAGGAAAAGAAAUCAAUUGAGAUUCCCUCAGUAGCGGCGAGCGAACGGGGAAAAGCCCAUUAAGUCAUAUAAGUUCUAGUGGAAUGCUCUGGGAAGUGCAACCAUAGUGGGUGAUAGUCCUGUACACGAAAGGGCUUAUAUGAUGAUGUCGAGUAGGGCGGGGCACGUGAAACCUUGUCUGAAUAUGGGGGGACCAUCCUCCAAGGCUAAAUACUCCUGACUGACCGAUAGUGAACCAGUACCGUGAGGGAAAGGCGAAAAGAACCCCUGUGAGGGGAGUGAAAUAGAUCCUGAAACCGCAUGCAUACAAGCAGUGGGAGCCGACUUGUUCGGUGACUGCGUACCUUUUGUAUAAUGGGUCAGCGACUUACAUUCAGUAGCAAGGUUAACCGCAUAGGGGAGCCGUAGAGAAAUCGAGUCUUAAUAGGGCGUUUAGUUGCUGGGUGUAGACCCGAAACCGGGUGAUCUAUCCAUGAGCAGGUUGAAGGUUGGGUAACACUAACUGGAGGACCGAACCCACUGUCGUUGAAAAGCCAGGGGAUGACUUGUGGAUAGGGGUGAAAGGCUAAUCAAACUCGGUGAUAGCUGGUUCUCCCCGAAAGCUAUUUAGGUAGCGCCUCGGACGAAUACCAUUGGGGGUAGAGCACUGUUUCGGCUAGGGGGUCAUCCCGACUUACCAAACCGAUGCAAACUCCGAAUACCAAUGAGUACUAUCCGGGAGACAGACUGCGGGUGCUAACGUCCGUAGUCAAGAGGAAAACAAUCCAGACCGCCAGCUAAGGCCCCAAAAUUAUAGUUAAGUGGGAAACGAUGUGGGAAGGCAUAGACAGCUAGGAGGUUGGCUUAGAAGCAGCCACCCUUUAAAGAAAGCGUAAUAGCUCACUAGUCGAGUCGGCCUGCGCGGAAGAUGUAACGGGGCUAAAACUAUAUGCCGAAGCUGCGGAUUUGCAAUUUAUUGCAAGUGGUAGGGGAGCGUUCUGUAAGCCGAUGAAGGUGUAUUGAGAAGUAUGCUGGAGGUAUCAGAAGUGCGAAUGCUGACGUGAGUAACGACAAUGCGAGUGAAAAACUCGCACGCUGAAAGACCAAGGGUUCCAGUCCAACGUUAAUCGGGGCUGGGUGAGUCGACCCCUAAGGCGAGGCCGAGAGGCGUAGUCGAUGGGAAAUUGGUUAAUAUUCCAAUACUUCUAUGUAAUGCGAUGAGAGGACGGAGAAGGUUAAGUCAGCCUGGCGUUGGUUGUCCAGGUGGAAGGUUGUAGGCAUGUAUCUUAGGCAAAUCCGGGGUACU
rnacentral:rRNA from 1 species